rnacentral:lncRNA from 1 species
GAAGUUUCGUAGGAAGAGUUGUUGGGAAAUUUGGGGCAUACAAGUCGCUGCCAAUUAGUUGAUAGGAAAUUGACUGUACGUGGAAAUAUGUACACGAAAACCUAAUAAAAAAAUUUAGGGUUCUUUAGAUACAAGUCUAUGCAACACUUAUUUUCUUGACAAAAACCCAUUUCAUUUUAAACAUCCAAAUAAAACCCAAAUUUGAAGUAGACUGCCAUGUAAACAAAUAAAUACCUAUUAUUUUCAAACUAUUUACAAUUGUGCCACAACACUCUAAUUAUGUUAAUGAAUUUAAUUAUCCACCAUAAUUGUGAGACAUAAGUGCCUUAUUAUUAUAAAAUUAUCUACUUUAUACUUCUCUUACCAUCAUAUAUUUCAUUUCUUUUAUUUGUUUGACAAUCAUUGUUGGUAAAUUAUUUUGCAUGUAUGUAUUAGACACAUUUUGUUAAAAUUAUAUAUAUGCGUACAAAUAAUUUAUCUAUAUUUUUAUGUAAAAUAAUAUGCAAUUAAUUAAUUUGAAUCAAUUGGCAAAAAACAUUUAUUUAUUUUGUAGGUAAAUUAUUUUUGAUGUGAUAUUACAUAUGUACUAGCCACAUUUUGUUAUUAUUAUAUAGAGUGUGCAAUCAAUCGACAUUUUUUUAUUUUGUAGGUAAAUUAUUUUGCAUGUAGGUAAAUUGUUAUAUAUAUAUAUAUAUAUUGCAAAAUAUUGGUAUUUAAUUAAUUUUGAAUAAAAAAUAUUUAUUUAUUUUGUAGGUAAAUUAUUUUACAUAUAUCAUUACAUAAUUUACUAGGAACUUAUAUUGUUAUAUAUGUUGGGCAAAAUAAUUUACUUAUGUUACAUUUAAAAUAUUGAUAAUUUUGAAUAAAUUAACUUUUUUUAUAUUUGUAGGAUAUACUAAUUUACUUGUUAGCAUCAUGUGAAAACAACUAUAUAAGGAACAUUGGUAUCAUGUAAACAUUUAAUUGAAUGAAAUAAUGUAAAAUAAAUGGAGAUAAUAAGUGAGAGACCCAAAGUAAGUGUUAUUAGGGGUAAUUUAGACAUCCAAAAAUACAAAUUUUGCCAAGUGAAACUUAAUUAUGGAUAUUGCUUAGUUGGAGCCUAGUCAUUGGGUUUUUGUUAGAGAAAUUUAUCAUGAUGGGUUUUAAUUAAAGAAAAUUGAAUUGCAAGGAGUGUACUCAUAUUUUCAGAAAAAAGGUAAUUAGUGAGGGGUUUAUAUUGUUAAUUUGUGGUCGAUUGAGUAGGUGCGUGGAAGAUAUUUGCUUAUGGGGUGUGUUUAAUUAGUUAACCGGAUCAAAUCAUUAUUUACUGAUUAAUUGGGUGGGGUUUGAACUUGUUUUUAACUGUCUUAUUGUUGCUUUCGUCACUGGCCCUAAGCAAAUGCCACCUCCGGCCGACGUCGACAUGUUAAGGUACGCGGUAUCAUUUUCAAUCCUUGUACAUGACAUUGGCUUACAAUAUGGUUAAUUUCUUGAUUUAGAAAGAUGAUGCUUACAUGAUAAUUUAGAAAGAUCAUGCUUACAUUGUAAUUUAGAAAGAUGAUGCUUGCAUGAACCAGGCCUUGCAUAUAUAGGUACAAGAAAUUGAGAUUUAAAAUCCAACUUUUUAGUAUAAGGUUUAUCUCUUGUUUUAACGUAUGAUAUGAUAUUGUUAUUGUGUGAUAACAUUACACCAAUAGUUGAGAAUCACUUAUGUAUAUGGGUAACUGCCUCUAGCAUUUUUCUUGUUUGAUCAUAGAAUGUUAUUGUAGGAUACAAUUGGAAGUCACUCAUGUGCACGAGUGACUAUGCUCGCACUUUUCAUGUCUGAUAAUAAUUAGACCGUUAGGUUGAAAAUCUUAAUUAAUUACUAAUUUAGUGUUCUAAUAAAGCACUUACAACUAAAAGAACAUGUAACUCAAUAACAUGCAUGUGUGCAUCCUUUUAACCGUAACACUCUAAAAUGACUUCAGAAAAAUGAUGAGUGUGUUCACACUAAUUUUUAAUUAUUUAAGCUGGGAAAUAAAAUUCCUCAUUUGCCUUUUCAUUUGACAGGAAAAUUGACAGAGUCAGUUGACAAAAUUGAUCUGUAGUACAACGUGGGUCAUAUUCUAAGGACCACAAAUAUAUAGUGUAAGGCGGUAAUUAGCCUUUGCAUAGAUAAAACUACAACCCAGGUUAUAAUUUAGGUCAAAAAAAAAAAAAAAUGGUAACAAAAACAUCAUAGAUGCUAUAGAGAAGCACUUAUACGCUACUUUCACUACAACUUUUAGUGAAGAAUUAGGCAAUGUGCAUAGAACCUGGUUUCUUUUUUUUUUUUCUGUGUGGACAGAAGCUGGUUUCUGGAAUUCUACUUCUGUGCAUGCCACCGAAAAUUGUAAGCUUACAAGUAAAGUUAUGACUAUCCAUUUUCCAUGGUGGGUGUGACAAAUAUAUACGAACGAGUUAUCUUUUUAAUUCUCAUCAUAUAUAUUUUUCUUAGAGUGCUAUUUAAUUUUUAUUAAUUUCCUGCCAAGCAAUGGAUUUAAUUCCUAACUAGGGUUCUUCAAAAUACUCGAAACACUUUCUUGGAGUGUAUGCACAUAAAAAGAGAAUGAGUAAGGAGCUUAAUUUAAUUUCUCAGAACCUAAAGCCAUGCACAUUUUGGUUGAAAUCUCUGUGAGUGUGAGAGUAAAGGGUGGGUGGAAUCGGUUGACCCGAUUUGACAAAAGGGGUUCAACUGUUCAAAAAUCUGGAAAACGAAAUCUUAAAUAUGUGUUUCUUUUAAGUGAAACAACUGGCUGAGACCUAAUAAGAGACGUAGCUGAGUUGCCUCUCAUAGUCUCAUUUGAUCUGGAAUAUUAAUAUUGCAAGUACGAAAAGAUAAAUCUUUGCAUACAAGAAUUCAGAAGUGGACACCAAUCCUUGUCCAAAUCUCACGUUUCAGCGCAAUAAUAUUGUACAGAAAUUCUAUGCAUGCUGAAUUUAGUAAAAAACGGUUGGCUGCAGGUUACAUAUUUGUCAAUACACCAGGAUUGGCCAAUCCACACGGCAAGGGCUUCUUCACUCCCAUUGAUUUGCACGCAUGUGGAUCGAUUUUCCUUAGAGAAAUUUUAUUUGAAUCUAUGUAAAUAACAUAUGUAAUUGAUUUUUU